UAAAAAAAAACUUAGACCCAAAAAAAAAACUUCGUAGAUCUCUUCUCCUCUCUAUCGUUGAUGUCUGACCUACUCUUCUACUGUCUCUGCCGCUAUAGCUGAACCGCGCUCCCCCACCCUCAUACUCCUCGUCCACCUCCUCCGUCUCUCUUUCAUUCGACCCAACUCACCCAAACCCUACAUCACCUUAAAUCGAAUCUACAUGCCUCUCUUGCAUAUAAGACUAGAAUUGAAAAUUCAUUCUCUUUGUGGUUUCAACAAGUCUAAAUGAAUUCAAUGUGGCAACGUCUCUCAUUUCGGAACAUUCAUAAUUGGUCCUUGUUGCAAAUGGUGUAUCUGAUUUUAACAAGAAGAGGAACUACGGGAAGAGUCUAAGCCUCUCUCACAUGCGUUAAGAGAAGACAGAACAUCCCAGACAUAUGAGUUUUGAUGGAAGGGUGGUGGCUGAUGAACACAGCUUCGACACGCAGCGCGACUUGCCAACAGAUUAUGCAGGAAGCCGUACGAGUACCUCCAAGAUUAGAUCCAGGGGAAAUGAGGUUCCUUUCAUCAUCGACGCCGCUCAACCCUAAUUUCUUCUCUCUCUCUGUUUUCCCGACGGCUGUUUCUCGCUGUCUCUCUCUCUCUCUCUUUUAAUCGGAGACGAGACAAUAAACACAAGUUAUGGCUUUAGUGUCUUCCUCAACGAUUUCUUCAACAGCAAGCCUUCAAAAGAUAAGUCACACGAGAAGAGACAGAAAAUUAGGGUUUCAAAAGAUUAAAGGAUUAUGACGUAAGAGCAAAAAUAUAAAUGGACUUGGAAAAGAUUCUCUGUACAUGAAGAUUCUUAAAACUUAAAUUGAAAAUUUGAAAAGUUUACAAAUCCAAUAUUUAGUUCCGAUUUAUAUGCAAAUUAAAAAGGAAAACAAUAUAACAUUUGCAUAAAAAUCGGGAAUGUUGCUACUAGCAUAUUUUGUUUUAUUCGAUUUUUGGUAAUAUAUUUUCACAAUGAUAAUUACUAGCA